AUUGAACGCUGGCGGCAUGCCUUACACAUGCAAGUCGAACGGCAGCACGGGAGCAAUCCUGGUGGCGAGUGGCGAACGGGUGAGUAAAGUAUCGGAACGUGCCCAGCCGUGGGGGAUAACGUAGCGAAAGUUACGCUAAUACCGCAUACGAUCUAUGGAUGAAAGCGGGGGAUCGCAAGACCUCGCGCGAUUGGAGCGGCCGAUAUCAGAUUAGGUAGUUGGUGGGGUAAAGGCUCACCAAGCCGACGAUCUGUAGCUGGUCUGAGAGGACGACCAGCCACACUGGGACUGAGACACGGCCCAGACUCCUACGGGAGGCAGCAGUGGGGAAUUUUGGACAAUGGGCGAAAGCCUGAUCCAGCCAUGCCGCGUGCAGGAUGAAGGCCUUCGGGUUGUAAACUGCUUUUAUACGGAACGAAAAGGUUUGGGCUAAUAAGCUGAGCUCAUGACGGUACCGUAAGAAUAAGCACCGGCUAACUACGUGCCAGCCGCCGCGUAA
rnacentral:rRNA from 1 species